GAAUGCAGUUACAGGCAGUUGCUUUCCCUGAAAGGGUGUGGUCUGCUUCUUUGAAAUUGGCAUUUCAAUGUACAGCAGGGAAGUGGCUGGUUGCUGCAUCAGAAGAUUCUCAUACUGCUGGAGAAGCUGAACAGUGAGGGUCAUCCAUCAGGUUUUAUCAUCUGCCUCACAGACAGCUCUGGAUGCAGGUUCACACAACAAGAAAACAGGGCUAUUACCUGUCAGUAAAGGCUUUGUAGACAUUCUGUCUGAAUUUUUACAAAGUAAAUACGCGGAAGGAGGUCUUUCUGAAUGUCACUCCAUAACAGUGCAACGCCCUAAGUUCCCUAAUUCAGUUUUACUUCUCUUUACAUGAAAUGAAAACCAGAAGCUCCACAAUAAGACAAAAAGAAAAACUGGCAAUGAAAACAUUUGUUUUUAAUAAAAACAUAUUUUCAAAGGACAGUAUGAAGAUGAAAGAGUUUUUCAUCUUUUUGCUAAAUCUGACAUCAGUCUUCAGUGACCAAGCCAUUAAUGGUAAGUUUCAGAUUUAUAAUUUCUUUUAUUUGAUUCUUGCCUUUUUUCUAUUCUUUUUUGAACCUGUCCCCUCUCAUCAGUUACUCUUCCCCGUUUUCUACUUUCUUUUGCUACCAUCCUCUCCGCUGUAGGACAACAAACAUUCUGACCAAAGCAGUCAGUUUGACUCAGGCACAGGUGCAGACAGGUGAGAGUGUGGAGGUUGGCUGCAAAGAAGUCCAAUAGAACAACACAAAAAGAUCAAAUAAUUGCCUCAUCCCUGCUGACACAGUGAUAUUUACUAUGCCCAGAAAACUGUCUCUGCUUGGAAUUGAUACUUUGGCCAGAAACACGUCUUGCAGGCUCAAAGGUCUCACUUCACUAUUGUUGUGCCCAGGCUUGACUCUUAUGCUGUGGAGAUGUGUGGAAUGAACA